CCUCUGGUGUACCUGUUGUCACGCCAGUGGCAUUGCAGGGUAGCUAAGUGCGGAAGAGAUAACCGCUGAAGGCAUCUAAGCGGGAAACUCGUUUCAAGAUGAGACUUCCCGGGAGCUUGACUCCCCUGAAGGGUCGUCCAAGACCAGGACGUUGAUAGGCUGGAUGUGGAAGUACAGUAAUGUAUGCAGCUAACCAGUACUAAUUGCCCGUGAGGCUUGACCUUAUUACACUG
rnacentral:rRNA from 1 species